ACCGAGUCAGACUGGGAGCCCGAGGUGGCUGCGCAGGCGCUGCCAAUACAGGCGGGACCGGAAGGAGACACAGGGCGCCGCCAUGACAGGUUGGUCCUAAAGGGAACGAGGCAACUUGCCGGUUCUGUAACCGGAAAAAACGAGGCAGGGACAGCUGACCUGGGCGCCGCCAUGACAGCCUGCACCGGAAAAGGCGGGGCUCUUCUCCCUGACUGAUUUCCCUCCGGCACCGGCCUCGAGAUGCAGGCGGCCCUGGAGGUCACUGCUCGCUACUGUGGCCGGGAGCUGGAGCAAUAUGGCCAGUGUGUGGCGGCCAAGCCUGAGUCAUGGCAGCGGGACUGCCACCACCUUAAGAUGAGUAUCGCUCAAUGCACAUCCUCCCACCCAAUCAUCCGGCAGAUCCGCCAGGCCUGUGCUGAGCCUUUUGAGGCCUUUGAGGAGUGUCUUCGACAGAAUGAGGCAGCAGUGGGCAACUGUGCAGAGCACGUGCGCCGCUUCCUGCAGUGUGCUGACCAGGUGCAGCCACCACGCUCACCCUCGAAUGUGGAGGAGAAGCCACUGAGAAUAACACCAGGACUGUGGAGGAGCAGUGCACGGUGCUGGUGAGGAAAAGGGGGAUAUGCAGACCAGAAAAUGAAGACCAGAACAACCCCAAGCAUCUGUACCCAGCAGAGCACAAGUCCCAUGGAACCAGGCCCAGGCAAACGUUAAGAAUUCUCUAAACUGCCUGCAGUCUUGAGGACACCCUUCUUUUCUUCUAUGUGGUGGUGAAACCGAAAAUCCUAAUUAUUCCAUGAUCAGUGCUUUUGUCAAGAGGAUACUGAGCUUGAUGUCAUCACAUCGGACUGACACCAGGAAUUAGUGUGAUGUGGGCUUGCUGAGCUGCGCGUCAAAGCAAAUUUUACAUAAUGAAGUAAAAGCGAUCAAGUAAAAAAAAUCUCAUUAAAUGCGUCUGUGAAUUUUGAGGAAAUGGAAAUGACCAAAAUGCACAUUAUGAACACCUCAAUGUCACAGGUAAGUAAAUUACAUCUCUGUUUUAGCAAUGUUGUACAGAAGAUGUCCAGGAUGUCUAACAAGUAAGGUCUUUUCAUUUUCCUUGCUAAGAAACAGAGACUGAAUGGGAUGGGUUGCAUGCCCGCCAAAUAUGCAAAGAAAUAAGAAAAGUCUAGUUUGUCUUUGGAUAAAGGAUCAGCAAUCUUCUACGUCUUCUGUGAUUGCAUUGCAGUAGUCAUAGGAGUUAAGAAAGUUGAUUGAAACUCCAUUUUUCGAAUCGAAGUACCUGAGAGCUAGGGGGCACGUUUGUUGUUGCUGCCACGCUGCAGUGGACUAACUAUAGGAAGACUAACUAUAGCAUGAAUAACUAACUACAGGAAGACCUGACAGAAUCGGUUUUGCACCCUCGGGGGCCAACACAUCUGGUUCCAGAAUUUCCCCCUUUUGUUAGCCCACAGGACAUUUGAGCUGCACUAUCUGAAUCUGGAAAUGUGCAAUAUCUGAAUCCUUAAGGGAAGGAUACUGUAUGAUAAUGCCUGCU